rnacentral:misc_RNA from 1 species
GAUGAAGAACGCAGCGAAAUGCGAUACUUGGUGUGAAUUGCAGAAUCCCGUGAACCAUCGAGUCUUUGAACGCAAGUUGCGCCCGAAGCCACUAGGCCGAGGGCACGCCUGCCUGGGCGUCACACGUCGUUGCCCCCCCAUCUACUCCUUCGGGAUUGCGGGGGGGCGGAUGAUGGCCUCCCGUGCGCCUAGCCGCGCGGUUGGCAUAAAUACCAAGUCCUCGGCGACGCACGCCACGACAAUCGGUGGUUGCGAAACCUCGGUUGCCCGUCGUGUGCGUUCGUCGCGCAUCGAGGGCUCGAAAAAAUGCUCGGCUUCGGCUCGGCUUUCAACGCGACCCCAGGUCAGGCGGGGUUACCCACUGAAUUUAAGCAUAUCAAUAAGCGGAGGA